CCCCCUUCAGCAGCCCCCUUCCAGUUCUGGAGACACCUGACCAGCUGAGAGAGCACUGCAGAGGAGCUGGACCCGGACAGAGGUAGUCUGCGGAUGACCCCUCCACGCAGGGCGCAGACACGCCCAGAACGCGGGGUCCUGGGACCAGCUGGCGGGAAGGUGGAGGCGUACCGCAGAGGACGCGCGGAAGAGACAGGGCCCAGAUGACAGCGGGUCCUACCAGCCCGACCAGACUACAUGGACAGGACAGCAGGGCAUAAAGGUGCUGAGGAGGUGACCAUUCCUGGGCUGCAGAGAUGGCAUGAACAGUGACCAGGGCAAGACAACACAGUCCACACAGCUGCAGGUCACUGGAAUUCUUCACAUGCAGUGCUUAAAGCAAUCCUUCAGGACUAAAGGUAGAAGGUGGCUGUGAGUGGAGUGACUCAGGUGGGACCAGCAUGGAUGUGCGGUGGAGUAGCCUGAAGCCAGUCUGCAGGAGGAAUUUGUCUCAAAGACUAAGUCUCACAGCAUCUCUUUGGAAAAGCUAAAAUCACAUGGAAUGAUUUGUGGCAAAUCCCCCCAGUCUGCAUGCUUGUAAUAGAGCAGAACGUGUCAGAUAAAUAGAACGUAUAUAUUUUGGAGAAGAAUUUCAGCUUAAAUGUUGCCUAAACCUCAUUCAUAGGUAGAUUCUGGAAAGAAGAAUGGCUGAAACCUGGGCGCCAGAUCCUUGAAUGCCACAUUAUAACAUACACGUCACAGAAGUGGUUGGGUAGCAACGUGUGUAUGUACUUGGACACUGUAUUUUGAGUACACUGGGGACCAUGGAAGCAUCGGGACUCCCUCUUCCAGGGAGCUGGAAUCAUCGCAAGCACCUCAGCCAGUGGGUGUGAAACAACCCCCAGGAUUCUGGGUUUAUACUAAUGGAGGUAGAGCACAAACUCUCAAUUUUGGGAACAGCCCCUUCCAACUCUCACAACUUAGUAUUUCUCAUCAACCACAAGAUUGACUGAGCCUUCAUGGCCAAGAAACUUCUGCUGUGCAGAGAUGAAAGCUGUUACUCGUAACUUGACAGCAUGCUCCCGUUAAAUGAUAUCCUGUGCAGGGGACCAAGAAAUGGACAAGAGGAAGAGAGGAGCUUCAAGUGUGUUUUGGGAGACUCUCAGGAAGCACAGCACAUCUCUGGUGAUCUAAGCCUCGAUGCCCGUGAUGCUGUCUUGGACCUGAAACACCCUCGCUUUCUCCUCUCCCGGUGCCAAGGAUGCUGUGGCUCCUCCACGCUCGGGACAUGGUCCUGAAGCCGAGAUGCCCACACGGCUGCUUGAACCUCUGCGGGGCCUGCCUUCUCUGUCUCCAGCAAAGGAAAGAAAUGAAAAAAUAUUCACUCCAUGAAAAGAAAAAAGAAAACCCCUAUUUUUACAGCAUAUUGAUUCUCAACCAUAAUUUCCCUACAUGGAUAUAAACAUGCAGCUGGUACCUGGAGCCUCAGUUUGAGGAACGUGUAGGACACAAGGUCGUUCAGGAAGAAACUGUAGGAAGUCAGUCUGGCAAGAGGUGAAAACAUAGACCAGUGAGAGCCUGACCAGCAAUCUGGAAGUUUCUGAGACUCACUUA